rnacentral:rRNA from 1 species
GGGUCCGAUCAUGCCCUCACUAAUGCACCAGAUCCCAUCAGAUUUCCGCAGUCAAGCAUGCUUGGGCGAGAGUAGUACUAGGAUGGGUGACCUCCUGGGAAGUCCAUGUGUUGCCCCCU